rnacentral:lncRNA from 1 species
UGUAAAAUAAUUUUAUUUUAAAAUAAACAAAUAAUUAUGAAUUAGAUGAAAAAGUAUAUAAAAGAAUAAUUUUAGAAGGUUGGUCGAAUGAAAUUGAUAUGCCACGUGGUGUAGAGAGUCUCCGACACAUUACUUUAAAAAAAAGAAAGGCAACAAAGAAAGGUGUUGGUGGUAGGAGUAGGACCCAUCCCCACUAGCAAAAUGUGAGAGAAAUGAAAUUAAUUAAAACUGACGGGGUUAUCGGUGACGGGAGAAGCAGUGUGGAAAACACCAUGACAGCCGUUGACGGCUUGUUUAACGGAGUUAAUGUCAAGUAGAUCAACUUUGUGUAGAGUAAGCCUUUCCUUUGCUCCUUCGAACUCUUUCAAGUGCCCAUUUUUAGGAUCAUCUGAAAUUUAUUAAAAUCAAAAUUCAUUUCUAUUGAACUAACGUUAUAACAUGAAUUAAGCUAAUUUAAUUUUAUAGAUGAAAAUGAAAGUAACUAGGAAGUAAGGCAUGCCUGGGUUACGCAAGGUUCCUCUGACAGUGUAGCCUUUCUCCAAGAGGAUCUUAACCAUCCAAGAAGCGAUGAAGCCGCC